rnacentral:rRNA from 1 species
UACAGAGGGUGCGAGCGUUAAUCGGAAUUACUGGGCGUAAAGCGCACGUAGGCGGCUUGGUAUGUCGGGUGUGAAAUCCCCGGGCUCAACCUGGGAACUGCAUCCGAAACUGCCUUGCUAGAGUAUGGGAGAGGGAAGUGGAAUUUCCGGUGUAGCGGUGAAAUGCGUAGAUAUCGGAAGGAACAUCAGUGGUGAAGGCGACUUCCUGGACCAAUACUGACGCUCAGGUGCGAAAGCGUGGGGAGCAAACAGG